rnacentral:lncRNA from 1 species
UCUGGUGCGGCGGCGGCAGCUGAGCAUCAGCCUCCUUCUCCGACGAGGGCUGGGCGACUAGGGUUAAGUUCUCCUACAACACGAUGUUUAAAUAUUCAUCUCGUGUCGAUCUUGACCAUCUGUUCGGGUACACGUAGAGCGAGAAAGACUGUUAGAUAAUUUUUCGUUUAGGCUAAUUGCAUGGACAAAUUUGGACUGUCC